GGAUCAGAUUGUCGGUCGUGCCUCGGUACGUACUGGCAUUAUUGGUUCCUACCUUCUGAAGAACCGCGAUGUCAUUAAUUUGGUGUCGUGGGGAAUCAGGACUGUUACUUUGAAAAAAUUAGAGUGUUUAAAGCAGGCGCACGCUUGAAUACAUUAGCAUGGAAUAAUGAAAUAGGACGUUUGAUUCUAUUUUGUUGGUUUCUAGGAUCGACGUAAUGAUUAAUAGGGAUAGUUG
rnacentral:rRNA from 1 species